rnacentral:rRNA from 1 species
UACGAGGGGGGCGAGCGUUGUUCGGAAUUAUUGGGCGUAAAGGGCGUGUAGGCGGUUGGUCAAGUCGGGUGUGAAAGCCUGAGGCUCAGCCUCAGAAGUGCAUCCGAAACUAGCCAGCUAGAGCGCGAUAGAGGAGGGUGGAAUUCCUGGUGUAGCGGUGAAAUGCGUAGAUAUCAGGAGGAACACCGGCGGCGAAGGCGGCCCUCUGGCUCGUUGCUGACGCUGAGACGCGAAAGCGUGGGGAGCAAACAGG